AAAACCAAAACCGAAAUCGAUAUCCGAAACCGGAUGACACUUACUAAUAAAAAAAAAAGUAAAAAAAGUAAAGUCACUGUUAGUCUUACUGAAUGCAUAAAGCGGAUGAACUCAACUUUGUUACCCUAAAUCUCCUCCUUCCUUUUCUCUCCAUCUCUUCUAAUCUGAGUAAUCUCCAUUCCCUUUCUCGAUUUCUCUCAACCUAGCCGUCUCCGUGACUCUGACUCUUGAAUCUCCAUUUGCUCUCUCUCUCGCUCUCUGUUUUCGUGUCCGCCUCUCCAGAGGCUCCCCUCCAUCUCCGACUGUUUGCCAAAGGUGCCCAUGAGAGGCAAACCUUGACUUAACCUUUGAACUUAGAGAGGGGCAGCGCUACCACGCUCUUCUAUGCUCGUAGGUUGACUCCCCUAUGCAUCCCGACUAAGGUCUCAUAAACGUGCAGUAGUUUUUCUGGUGCAUUAUUAACUGAGCUCGAGGGCAAAUUAUAUUCUCAAAGAAUGAGCUCUUGUCCCUAUUGAAGAAGAAGAGGCUGCUGUCAUGUGACCAACUCAAAGGGCUCUUUUGGAAACAUAAGAAAGAUCUGUCCGUAGUAGCGUUUUGAGAGCCUUCUAACUGUUUCCUAGGUUUCGUGUUCUAAUUUCUGCAGCUUGUGCCUGAAGGUUAUGUCUUCGUGUUGGGAGACAACCGUAACAACGGUUUUGAUUCCCAUAACUGGGGUCCUUUGCCGGUUGUGAACAUUAUUGGCAGGUCAGUCUUCCGGUAUUGGCCUCCCACUAAGGUCUGAAUACCUUACACGAACCUCAAUCUGGGAAGAAAGCGAUUGCAGUUUCCUAACAAGCAGUGGGAAGACUAACACGACUUCUCGUUUAGAUGGUGAUUCCACCAUUCUUUUUCUCUCCACUCGGAUCUGGCUCUCUGAUGAUUGAGCAAUUUGUUCCCAUUGGGUCUACCUUGUUCACAGGUCGACCACAUGGCAGCAAUAAAAAGGUGAGUUUGUUGGCUUUUCAGGUGGCACCAGUUUAGCCUCCGUCCCUUCGUACGAAAUUUAUUUGCUUGAGUUGUAGCUAGGAGUUGCUAGCAGCUCGAGGUUCGAGACAUUUUCAAUUUUAUUUAGCGAGAUAAAAAAAAUUUAUAAAUUUUAACAUGGUACUCGAAAUCUAUAAUAUAAUACAUGUUUCGGGUAGGGUCCAGUUUCAAAAUUUAACAGGGUAUGAUUCGGUUCUAAAAUAUUAAAAUAUGUCCCUUAUAAAGUAUGAUAAGAUCCGAACAUCGUAAAAAAUAAAAAUAAAAAAAAAAUCCGGAGCCGAUCAUCCUUAUAUAUCAACCUUAUAAUGCUUAUACGACUGUGUUUCUUCUGUGGCCGACCGCAAUGAUUAUGGGUUUAGCCCUUUGUUUAUGUCAUGGGUUGCCCCGCCCAUACGCUAGUUCCACCGCCGAAACUACUGAAAGUGACCAAUUUUAGUUAUGGUUUUUAUAUGUAAAUAUUGGUUAUUCCAGAUUCUAGUAUUUGCUUCUUUGCUGAUGCUGCUAUGACGUUUCCAUACGUUAGACAACCAUGCAAUGCCGCAUGCCUUUUUUAAGAACUACCAUAUAAAUUCCCGCAUUCAACUAACCUAGAUUGAUUCCGGCUAUCCGUCGUAUAUUUAUUUUAUAUUAUGUUUAAAUCGCUGGAAAUGAAUGGAAAAGAAAGGGAUGGGAGGGAGAAUUUCUAUAGGAUUUUGCAUUUUCGUACUAUCCUCCCCUCUCUUUCUUUCCCUCCGUUUGAGCAACGCGCUUCGA